GGGAGGGGGAGUCCCUGGACCACACCGGACAUUUGAGGCACGAAGGUAGGGGGAGCAACCAGGAUUAGAACCCUGGUAGUCCUAGCCUUAAACGGUGCGCGCUUGUGUAAGGAGGAAUCGACCCCUCUGUGGGGAAAGUUAACGCGUUAAGCGCGCCGCCUGGGGAGUACGGUCGCAAGAUUAAAACCCAAAAGAAAUGACNGGGGGCCUGCACAAGCGGUGGAGUAUGUGGCUUAAUUCGAUGCAACGCGAAGAACCUUACCUGGCCUUGACAUGCAUUUGGUAGAACCAUGAAAGUGGGACGACCCCGCAAGGGGAGGAUGCACAGGUGCUGCAUGGCUGUCGUCAGCUCGUGUCGUGAGAUGUUGGGUUAAGUCCCGCAACGAGCGCAACCCUUGUGUCCUGUUGCCACCUCUUCGAGAGAAGAGAGCACUCUGGACAGACUGCCUCGCUUAAACGGGGAGGAAGGUGGGGAUGACGUCAAGUCAGUAUGGCCCUUACGGCCAGGGCUGCACACGUACUACAAUGCCCGAUACAGAGGGAAGCAAGACCGUCAGGUGGAGCAAAUCCCAGAAAAUCGGGCCCAGUUCAGAUUGGAGGCUGCAACCCGCCUCCAUGAAGUUGGAGUUGCUAGUAACCGUAGGUCAGCACACUACGGUGAAUACGUUCCCGGGUCUUGUACACACCGCCCGUCACACCACGAAAGUCGGCAACACCUGAAGCCGCUGAACUAACCCUUUUGGGAGGCAAGCGUCGAGGGUGGGGUCGGUGAUUGGGGUGAAGUCGUAACAAGGUAAAUCGAAUUCCCGCGGCC
rnacentral:rRNA from 1 species